UCUUCAUCAUCAUGACCUUCAUCAUCAUCUUCAUCUGGACUCUCACAGCGUUUGCUCAAGAGUGUGGAGGACAGAUCAGUGUUACUCAGAGUUCCUCAAUGACAACAGAACCAGGCAAAACCAUCACAAUCACCUGCAGAACCAGCAGAGAUGUGUACUGGCAUGGUGUAUAUGGACAUUAUUUAGCCUGGUACUUACAGAAACCUGGAGAAGCUCCUAAACUCCUGAUUUAUCACGCAAGCAGCCGUCAGUCAGGAACUGCAUCUAGAUUCAGUGGCAGUGGAUCUAACAGUGAUUUCACUCUGAGCAUCAGUGGAGUCCAGACUGAAGAUGCUGGACAUUAUUACUGUCAGAGUUUUCAUGUGAUCAACAGUAAAAAUGAGUUCACACAGUGA